AAGUCACCCACCAGAGUGCACAAUCAGCAUUAAACUGCAUCUCUUAAAUUUCGUACACUACACUAGACUACACUUUAUAGUCUCAAAAGACGGUGGUGGAGGGGAGUAAAGUACAAUUGAAAAGGCAGGACAGCAGUAGUUUCUGGUGGCUCAAACAUCGGCAACUUAAAAGCUCCUGUUAUACAACUAUUACCUGAAUGAACAGGAUUGUUUAACCAAGGUGGGAGCUAGGAAUUUGCCCCAAAUUGAGACAUUCCACUAGGAAAAACAAAAGCAUGUACCCAAACUGAUGCGAGGGAAUAGUCGCGGAAGAAACAUCCCACCCAGACUACGCUAGCGAGAGCGCGCACGUUUAUCAGCGCUAAUGACUCGUUCCGCUAUCGGCAGUUACAGCAGCAAUCUGUGAGGAAUGCUGGGCCCAUUCAGCGGUGUUGGGAAGCUCUCCUUGAUUGAACGCCCUGUAUUAUGGGUAUUACCUCAACGUGUGAGGCUCACGUAUUGGUAAUACUGAUGAUAAAGUGUCUUUUAAGUGUGCAGCUGAAAUGGCAUGAUAUACAUACCAAGUUUCAUGAUGAAUUGGUUGAGGUAUUCGAGUAAUAUUAAGUGUAUUACCUCAACAAUUUGAGCAGGUAUAGUGUUGGUAUUACUGAUCGAAGGGUAUAUGAAGUACGCAAUUGAAAUGGUUUCAUGUGACAUUAUAUAUACCCUAAGCUUCAUUUAGAGGCUGUUAAGCACUAUUAAGGUUUUGCCACUCAAAACUGGAAGCUGUAAUUUUGGUAUUAUUGAUGAGAUGGGUGUAGGUGUAGGUAUACAUGCCAAGCUUCAUAAAAAUUGGUUCAACCAUUCAAAAGUUAAUAUGGAGGGAGGGUCAUACAGAAGACGUGAUAAGCCUAUUUUUAUUUUUUCAACAUAAGCAGGCUAAAAAGGGUCUAAUACAUAUGUAUACCACUCCCUCUCCAAGUGCCAUAAUGAUUCAAGAGGUGUACAAAACUUUCAAGCUACACUUCUACCAUAUCUAAAGACUGUACAAUGUGUGCAUCAAAGUGAACAGUUUCUGCUGUCUACUAGACAAAAGGCUAACUUGGUUGCACAGUUGGCCUGUACAUAACUGGGAAUAUUCCAGUGUCUCAGUGGUAACUGAAUAAUUGUCAUUCAUUCUGAAAUCAGUUCCAGUGAGCUGACCCACCUCAUAAAUACUGGUACAUUUCUAAUAGCAAUUAAGAACUAUGGCUCUUAACAGUAAGAGCGGUUAUAUUGAUCCUGUCUAUUGAGCAUUUGAGAAAGUAGUGCUCAUUCAAGUAGGCUGCUUCAUGUUUAAUAUCACCCCCCCCCCCCACCUUUAAUAAAAUGGUGCCCUAUGCCUAAUUUUCCUAAUUCUUGGCCAAACUACAAGAAAGCUAAAGUGUCAUGUAAUAUUCCAUUUUCAGAUAAAUCAACAUGGUCAAGAUGCAAACAUGAUUUAGAUACAUCUACCAUAACAUACCAAAAUGACUGAAAUAUACUUCCAGAAUUUUUUCAGGUCAUAUAAUUUUCUUACUUAAAUCUUUCAAUCUUAGAGGUAUAUUAAUAUCCUAGUUUAGAAAAUUGUGAAAUUAAAGUCUUGAUAAUAUAGUGAAUUUAAUUUAUUAAAUUUUUCUAAUACAGCAAUAAGGAUAACAAAAUUUAUUUUGACUUUUCUAGUAUAUGCCAUUUUGAUCUAACAGUUCAUAAAGACUCAAAACUCUCAUAAGUUUGUAUCUUUUUAUACAGUAGCUCAGUGACAACUUGGAAAGUGGUGUGCAAGAACUUAUCUUGAGAUUCAUAUAUAGAACAUAAACAAUAUUAGCUUCAGAAAGUUACACAAAAUCAAGAAAUGUUACCAUGUUUAUACUAUGCAUGUGCAAGAAUGAUUUUAGUUUGAGGCAAGAAUUUGGUAACCCCUCAAGAAUCUACAUGAGAAUGAAAAAAUUCCCCCAAAGACCAAUGGCUUCCCUGUAAUAAUUUAUAGCAUUAGCCACUUUUUCACUUUAGUACCAUAUUUAUCCAAAUGGAAGAUGUUUCCAAUGUAAGAUGACCCAACAUGUGCACAGAAAACAAUUAAUUUUAUUAAUUUCAUACUAAUUACUACAGACAUGUGAAAGAAAAUAAAUAUUAAAGACACAUGCAUAUACAUGAAGUCUACCGAGUUUCCUUCUUGAAGUCACUAGCCUUUACUCUACUUCACCAGUCUUGCUCUGUUUACCAUUCCUAUCACGUCUCAGUUUCAGUGUCUUCACAAUUAGCAUUUUCUGUUUCACAUUCAUACGUUCACUGCCAACAUCCCAAUUUCAUUCUCACUCUCCAUUCCACCACUUACAUGGCAGAUCUGACUAUCCCUACUAGACUGAUCGAUUUCAAUGGUCUUGAUCCAGUGGCACAGCAGUUCCACACUGGAAGUCAUUAUUUUCUUGCAUGGCAUCAGAACAUGGUCUCCCGCCAAGACCCAUUCAGAAUACAACUGUUUCAACUGAUCCUUAAAAGUUUAUUCACUAUACCAUGUAUUUAAGAUGUCAUUCCUCCAGCUAUGACAAGGUCAGCAUUUAUUGCAUAAUUCAGAAAUCCAGUGCUAAAUGAUCUUUAAAUGCACCCAUCACAAACAGCCCUUGUAAUCUCAAAAAUACUCUCCAUCUGCUGCAGACAUGCCCAUCAGUUCACUGUCAGUCUGAUACCUGAUUAUUAGUCCCAUAGGCAGCAAGCCUCGGGCAGUUUUCAAUUCAGUAUCACAUGUGGUAGUAGUUACAUGCUGUCUCCCAACUCUCCCAACUCUGUCAACAUUACAAUCACAUCUUUUACAGCCUGGUAGCGAAGGUCUUAACUGUAAAGUAAACCUGUUCCUCCACGUUAUUCCCACACACCAUCCUCAGCUCACCUAAAAAUUUCAGCCUUUCAGUAAGUACUGAUGUGACAAGGGACUGACAUUCCACUGUGUCCUUGAGUCCCUGCAAGUGAGAACUUUUGGGUACAAGUGACAAAUUUUCCACCUUUGGAUGUUUACCUUAAGAAACACUACUUUCUAGCCGCUUCAUAGAUUUUUUUCUGCAUAUUUAAUCACUACAGCCUCAAAGAAUGAUUCACAACUGUAAUGCCCUACAUCUUUCAACACAUUCCCUUUCACACCAGUUCUGUUAGCACAGAAUCUUUAACAUGAGUGGGUAAAUUACAUUUUUAUUUCAUAAUUCUGAUGGUACUUCAGACAGCAUCCUGGAAGCUUCUGAUUUUAAAACAUACAUACCUACCACUCUCUCUCUCUCUCUCUGCCCCCCCCCCCCGACUCAGAUAGCAUGCCAAUGCAAACCGUGAACAUACUAAAAGCUUAAACAGAUUAAAAGCAUCUAAUGUAUAGACAAAAUCAGACAGUCACUGGCUUCCACUGCAAGAGCCUGGGUUUGAUCCCAGGUCAGGUCAUUUGGGAUUUGUGGUGGGAAAAGUGGGUCAGGGCAGAUUUUCUUCAAAUACUUCUGUUUCUGCUACAAAUUCUUAUUCCACAACUGCUUCAUAUUCAUUAAUCGUCCUAUCAUAAAUGCUAUAUACUGUCAAUACUGACAAAAUUGUCAAAUAACAGAAUUGGGGAAGAGAGAGAGAGAGAGAGAGACUCUGAAAUGUAAAGUAAAAGCAGUUACCAGAAAAGUCUCAAAAUUUAAAAAUGUAUAAGUAACAUAUGAAUCAAAAUUAAGAAUUCUGUUCUCUUGAUUCAAUCUUGAAAAAUUGGGCCUCGAAUAUGCUUUAUUUAUGUGCUCCAGGUAAGUUUCUUUAAAUUCUGGUCAAAUGAAUAAGGUAUUUUUUUCAAUCUGUUUAAAUGCCUGCACAUUAUAUCAAUUUUCAAUAUUUUUCAUUUCUUAUAUACAUGUAUUCAAAUUACAGUUGAAACAAUUACUUCAAGUCUUUGAGAUUCCAAAAAAAAAAAAA